GCAUUGAUGGCUCAGUGGUAGAAUUCUUGUCUGUCACACGAGAGGCCUGGAUUCGAUCCCAGGCCAAUGCA